rnacentral:rRNA from 1 species
UACGAAGGGGGCUAGCGUUGCUCGGAAUUACUGGGCGUAAAGCGCACGUAGGCGGCUUCUUAAGUCGGUGGUGAAAUCCUGGAGCUCAACUCCAGAACUGCCUUCGAUACUGGGAAGCUCGAGUCCGGGAGAGGUGAGUGGAACUGCGAGUGUAGAGGUGAAAUUCGUAGAUAUUCGCAAGAACACCAGUGGCGAAGGCGGCUCACUGGCCCGGUACUGACGCUGAGGAGCGAAAGCGUGGGGAGCGAACAGG